rnacentral:rRNA from 1 species
UACGUAGGGUGCGAGCGUUAAUCGGAAUUACUGGGCGUAAAGCGUGCGCAGGCGGUUUUGUAAGCCAGAUGUGAAAUCCCGGGGCUUAACCUGGGAAUGGCAUUUGGGACUGCAAGGCUUGAGUGCGGCAGAGGAGACUGGAAUUCCUGGUGUAGCAGUGAAAUGCGUAGAUAAUCAGGAGGAACACCAGUGGCGAAGGCGGCUUUCUGGGCAUUACCUGACGCUGAGACGCGAAAGCGUGGGGAGCGAACCGG